rnacentral:rRNA from 1 species
CCGCGGUAAUUCCAAGCUCCAAUGCCGUAUAUUAAAGUUGUUGCAGUUAAAAAAGCUCGUAGUUGAACCUCGGGGUCUACCCAUUGGUCAGGCUUAAUUGUCUGCACUGGUGAGAUGGAUCUCUACCUUCUGAGGAACUUUCAUGCCAUUUAUUUGGUGUGAUGGGAAAUCAGGACUGUUACUUUGAAAAAAUUAGAGUGUUUAAAGCAGACUAUCGUCUGAAUACAUUAGCAUGGAAUAAUGAAAUAGGACGGACUGAUUCUAUUUCGUUGGUUUCUAGGAUCACCGUAAUGAUUAAUAGGGAUAGUUGGGGGCAUUAGUAUUCAAUGGUCAGAGGUGAAAUUCUUGGAUUUAUUGAAGACUAACUACUGCGAAAGCAUUUGCCAAGGAUGUUUUCAUUAAUCAAGAACGAAAGUUAGGGGAUCGAAGACGAUCAGAUACCGUCGUAGUCUUAACCAUAAACUAUGCCGACUAGGGAUCGGAAGAAGGUAAUUUUAUAAUGACGCG